rnacentral:rRNA from 1 species
AUUGAACGCUGGCGGCAGGCCUAACACAUGCAAGUCGAGCGAGCGGCGGACGGGUGAGUAAUGUCUGGGAAACUGCAUGAUGGAGGGGGAUAACUACUGGAAACGGUAGCUAAUACCGCAUACCAUCAGAUGUGCCCAGAUGGGAUUUGCUAGUAGGUGGGGUAACGGCUCACCUAGGCGACUAUCCCUAGCUGGUCGGAGAGUAUGACCAGCCACACGAGAACUGAGACACGGUCCAGACCCCUACGGGAGGCAGCAUGUGGGACUAUUGCACAAUGGGCGCAAGCCUGAUGCAGCCAUGCCGCUGGUGUGAAGAAGGCCUUCGGGUUGUAAAGCACUUUCAGCGGGGAGGCGUUACCCGCAUAAGAAGCACCGGCUAACUCCGUGCCAGCAGCCGCGGUAAUAC